AGAGUUUGAUCCUGGCUCAGAUUGAACGCUGGCGGCAGGCCUAACACAUGCAAGUCGAGCGGUAGCACAGAGAGCUUGCUCUCGGGUGACGAGCGGCGGACGGGUGAGUAAUGUCUGGGAAACUGCCUGAUGGAGGGGGAUAACUACUGGAAACGGUAGCUAAUACCGCAUAACGUCGCAAGACCAAAGUGGGGGACCUUCGGGCCUCAUGCCAUCAGAUGUGCCCAGAUGGGAUUAGCUAGUAGGUGGGGUAACGGCUCACCUAGGCGACGAUCCCUAGCUGGUCUGAGAGGAUGACCAGCCACACUGGAACUGAGACACGGUCCAGACUCCUACGGGAGGCAGCAGUGGGGAAUAUUGCACAAUGGGCGCAAGCCUGAUGCAGCCAUGCCGCGUGUGUGAAGAAGGCCUUCGGGUUGUAAAGCACUUUCAGCGGGGAGGAAGGCGGUGAGGUUAAUAACCUCAUCGAUUGACGUUACCCGCAGAAGAAGCACCGGCUAACUCCGUGCCAGCAGCCGCGGUAAUACGGAGGGUGCAAGCGUUAAUCGGAAUUACUGGGCGUAAAGCGCACGCAGGCGGUCUGUCAAGUCGGAUGUGAAAUCCCCGGGCUCAACCUGGGAACUGCAUUCGAAACUGGCAGGCUAGAGUCUUGUAGAGGGGGGUAGAAUUCCAGGUGUAGCGGUGAAAUGCGUAGAGAUCUGGAGGAAUACCGGUGGCGAAGGCGGCCCCCUGGACAAAGACUGACGCUCAGGUGCGAAAGCGUGGGGAGCAAACAGGAUUAGAUACCCUGGUAGUCCACGCCGUAAACGAUGUCGAUUUGGAGGUUGUGCCCUUGAGGCGUGGCUUCCGGAGCUAACGCGUUAAAUCGACCGCCUGGGGAGUACGGCCGCAAGGUUAAAACUCAAAUGAAUUGACGGGGGCCCGCACAAGCGGUGGAGCAUGUGGUUUAAUUCGAUGCAACGCGAAGAACCUUACCUGGUCUUGACAUCCACAGAACUUAGCAGAGAUGCUUUGGUGCCUUCGGGAACUGUGAGACAGGUGCUGCAUGGCUGUCGUCAGCUCGUGUUGUGAAAUGUUGGGUUAAGUCCCGCAACGAGCGCAACCCUUAUCCUUUGUUGCCAGCGGUUAGGCCGGGAACUCAAAGGAGACUGCCAGUGAUAAACUGGAGGAAGGUGGGGAUGACGUCAAGUCAUCAUGGCCCUUACGACCAGGGCUACACACGUGCUACAAUGGCAUAUACAAAGAGAAGCGACCUCGCGAGAGCAAGCGGACCUCAUAAAGUAUGUCGUAGUCCGGAUUGGAGUCUGCAACUCGACUCCAUGAAGUCGGAAUCGCUAGUAAUCGUAGAUCAGAAUGCUACGGUGAAUACGUUCCCGGGCCUUGUACACACCGCCCGUCACACCAUGGGAGUGGGUUGCAAAAGAAGUAGGUAGCUUAACCUUCGGGAGGGCGCUUACCACUUUGUGAUUCAUGACUGGGGUGAAGUCGUAACAAGGUAACCGUA
rnacentral:rRNA from 1 species